UGCGAUAGAGAAUCGUAAAGGAUGAGAACCGUAAGGUUCGAGUCUCGCGAAGCGAGACAACAUCUCCGGUGAUGGCCUCGCAAGGGCGAGGCCAAAGGUCGAGUUAUCCUGCACGAUCCACCA
rnacentral:sRNA from 1 species